GACGAACGCUGGCGGCGUGCUUAACACAUGCAAGUCGAACGGAAAGGCCCUGCUUUUGUGGGGUGCUCGAGUGGCGAACGGGUGAGUAAUGCGUGAGUAACCUGCCCUUGACUUUGGGAUAACUUCAGGAAACUGGGGCUAAUACCGGAUAGGAGCUCCUGCUGCAUGGUGGGGGUUGGAAAGUUUCGGCGGUUGGGGAUGGACUCGCGGCUUAUCAGCUUGUUGGUGGGGUAGUGGCUUACCAAGGCUUUGACGGGUAGCCGGCCUGAGAGGGUGACCGGCCACAUUGGGACUGAGAUACGGCCCAGACUCCUACGGGAGGCAGCAGUGGGGAAUAUUGCACAAUGGGCGGAAGCCUGAUGCAGCAACGCCGCGUGCGGGAUGACGGCCUUCGGGUUGUAAACCGCUUUCGCCUGUGACGAAGCGUGAGUGACGGUAAUGGGUAAAGAAGCACCGGCUAACUACGUG
rnacentral:rRNA from 1 species